UACGUAGGGGGCAAGCGUUGUCCGGAAUCAUUGGGCGUAAAGCGCGCGUAGGCGGCUCGAUCAGUCUGUUGUGAAAGUCAAAGGCUCAACCUUUGAAAGCCGAUGGAUACUGUCGAGCUAGAGUCCGGAAGAGGCGGGUGGAAUUCCUGGUGUAGCGGUGGAAUGCGCAGAUAUCAGGAGGAACACCAACGGCGAAGGCAGCCCGCUGGGACGGUACUGACGCUAAGGCGCGAAAGCGUGGGGAGCGAACGAGG
rnacentral:rRNA from 1 species